GGAAUUGUAGCUUAAAUAUAAGAGCGUUGAGCUUUUAACUCAAAUGUGAAACUAGUGGUUUUCGAUUCUA
rnacentral:tRNA from 1 species